CGGAACGGGUGAGUAACGCGUGAGGAACCUGCCUCAAAGAGGGGGACAACAGUUGGAAACGACUGCUAAUACCGCAUAAGCCCACCGGUGCCGCAUGGCACAGAGGGAAAAGGAGCAAUCCGCUUUGAGAUGGCCUCGCGUCCGAUUAGCUAGUUGGUGAGGUAACGGCCCACCAAGGCGACGAUCGGUAGCCGGACUGAGAGGUUGAACGGCCACAUUGGGACUGAGACACGGCCCAG
rnacentral:rRNA from 1 species